GGAUCCAGACUUUGAUUCUGGCUCAGGAUGAACGCUAGCUACAGGCUUAACACAUGCAAGUCGAGGGGAAACGACAUCGAAAGCUUGCUUUUGAUGGGCGUCGACCGGCGCACGGGUGAGUAACGCGUAUCCAACCUGCCCACCACUUGGGGAUAACCUUGCGAAAGUAAGACUAAUACCCAAUGAUAUCUCUAGAAGGCAUCUGAAGGAGAUUAAAGAUUUAUCGGUGAUGGAUGGGGAUGCGUCUGAUUAGCUUGUUGGCGGGGUAACGGCCCACCAAAGCUACGAUCAGUAGGGGUUCUGAGA
rnacentral:rRNA from 1 species